rnacentral:rRNA from 1 species
UACGUAGGGUGCGAGCGUUGUCCGGAAUUAUUGGGCGUAAAGAGCUCGUAGGCGGUUUGUCACGUCUGCUGUGAAAUCCCGAGGCUCAACCUCGGGCCUGCAGUGGGUACGGGCAGACUGGAGUGCGGUAGGGGAGAAUGGAAUUCCUGGUGUAGCGGUGGAAUGCGCAGAUAUCAGGAGGAACACCGAUGGCGAAGGCAGUUCUCUGGGCCGUAACUGACGCUGAGGAGCGAAAGCGUGGAGAGCGAACAGG